AUGCCCUGUGACUUCUCAUGAAGCAGCAUGGCCCACACCAGAAGCUGGUACCAGGCUUUUAGACUCCCUGCCUCCAGAACCACAGGUUUCUGCUAAGUUGUUAAUGGCCUCCCUGAGUUGCUGAGUCUGGCCUUAAACUCAAUACUCCUGACUUACCCAUAAGUCACUGGGAUUACAGCACUUCCAAAAUCUGAAGGUUACACUGAAGCCUGCCUGGUCCGCUUUUCUGGAUGCCUCCCUCUCACACCAUCUUCUCGCUGCUCCAGGUGAAACCCCAGGCCACCAUCAUCUGGAUCUUCUCUUGACAAUUGAGUCUUCGGUUGUCUACAUGCCCUGUGUCCCUCUUUUUGUCAUUUCAAAUCCCCAAGUAACUUUCAAAGAAAGGGUCUGUGGGAGCUAAAAUUCUGAGUCUGCAUUUCUUUGGUUUUGCUGUAUGACAAACCAUCACAAAACUCAGUGGUGAAACAACCGUUUAGUUUUCCCUCACACAU